rnacentral:rRNA from 1 species
CUUGGUCAUUUAGAGGAAGUAAAAGUCGUAACAAGGUUUCCGUAGGUGAACCUGCGGAAGGAUCAUUAUUGAAAACUUAGUUCAAUGGGGACGCCGUCAAGGGAGGGAAACCUCUCUCGGGUCCCUUGUGAUCUUAUCCACCCUUUGUGAACUGGACCCAAACAAUUUUCUUUUUAAACGCUAAGAAACAUGUUUUGAAUGGGCUCGUAAUUGAAUAAAUAAGUAAACAACUUUCAGCAACGGAUCUCUUGGCUCUCGCAUCGAUGAAGAACGCAGCGAAAUGCGAUAAGUAAUGUGAAUUGCAGAACUCAGUGAAUCAUCGAAUCUUUGAACGCAACUUGCGCCUCUUGGUAUUCCGAGAGGCACGCCUGUUUGAGUGUCAUGCUUUCAAACCAACCUGGUUGAGCAUUUUCGCGCUUGCUUCUGAUUCUGGAAGCAUGGUGUGGGACUGUGUUCAGUCUGGCUUGGAGCUUCUUUAAGUAGUUGAGUCGUUGUAGUCUUCACGGAUUACUCGCUCGAAAGAUCUAAGUGUUGGAUGUGGUUAAGAGGAAUGAUCAGAUUUUGGUUCUGCCAUCAUCCGCAUCUCGCUUGUUAGAAUCUUCUAAGUGAGUGUGCGCUGUCCUCUGUCUCGAGACGUGUCGCGUAUCGAGGGCCGCUCCAGAUUGUCCAAGACCUCAAAUCAGGUGGGAUUACCCGCUGAACUUAAGCAUAUCAAUAAGCGGAGGAAAAGAAACUAACAAGGAUUCCCUUAGUAACGGCGAGUGAAGUGGGAAGAGCUCAAAUUUGUAAUCUGGCAGUCUUACUGUCCGAGUUGUAGCCUCGAGAGGUGUUUUCCGUGUCGAGCCACUCGUGAGUCUGUUGGAAUAUAGCGUCAGUGAGGGUGAUAAUCCCUACAACGAGUCUGGCAAGAUGCCCUAUGAUACACCCUCCAAGAGUCGAGUUGUUUGGGAAUGCAGCUCUAAGCGGGUGGUAAAUUCCAUCUAAAGCUAAAUAUUGGCGAGAAACCGAUAGCGAACAAGUACCGUGAGGGAAAGAUGAAAAGAACUUUGAAAAGAGAGUUAAACAGUACGUGAAAUUGUUGAAAGGGAAACGCUUGAAGUCAGUCGUGUCUUUCAGAAAUCAACUUGACCUUGGUUGGGCGUACUUUCUGUUGGACAGGUCAGCAUCAAUUUUGAUCGUUGGAUAAAGACUUGAGGAAUGUGGCAACUUGUUUGUGUUAUAGCCUCUUGUUCAGAUACAAUGGUUGGGAUUGAGGAACUCAGUGUGACUUCGGUUUGGCCCUCGGGUACAUCCCACACUUAGGAUGCUGGCAUAACGGCUUUAAUCGACCCGUCUUGAAACACGGACC